UGUAAUGAGUUUGCAAAAUAGUUUGAGAUGUCUUGAGAUAUACACGAGUGCAAAACGCAGAAGGAUAUAUGUGUAGUGACGUGGAAUUAGUGACUGGAGCGCGUGCCACUGGGAGAUUGGCAGACAGUAGAAUUAGGGGUAACAGCCCGUUCUACCAGUUGAACCUGUGGGCAAGACACGGAGCAAUCUGCGGGAUCCAGACGAGUGUGGGGCCGAGGGUGGAGCCUGGCCACGCUGUUCAGGAUAUAAGGCGAGCUCCGACUCACAGUCGAGGCUGCUAUGAUGGGGAUUGGAACUGGUCAUGCUGUUGGCGUCGUGAUCUUCGCCACUCUGCAAGCCGUGGGUCUGGCAACAUUCUGGCUGUCCCGACCUGACAGGGACGGCUAUUGUGUGUGCAUCGCGGUGCCAGUGUGACUCUUCACCUGCUGCUGGUGAUCCCACAGGUCAUCCACCGCUGCAUUGCUGAGCUGGUGAGCCAGGAGCUCCGAGGUCCCUGCAGCCCACAAGCCCUGAUGCAGUUUCACCGCCUGCACGCUCGAUGGCAAGGCCACUGGAUGAGCAUGACAAUAAUUGUGAUCGUGGGGU